AAGAGAUUUAAAUAUUAAUUAGAGGAAUUGGAAUAAAGGAAAUCAAAGGAAACUAAAUAAUAUUGGAAGACCGAGAUCUAUAAUUUCGUUUCCGAAAUAUGUAAACGAGUGCGUAUAGAUAUUAAACUUGGUCCCACCA